rnacentral:rRNA from 1 species
AAUAGAUACCCAGGUAGUCCGCGCCGUAAACGAUGUCGACUUGGAGGUUGUUCCCUUGAGGAGUGGCUUCCGGAGCUAACGCGUUAAGUCGACCGCCUGGGGAGUACGGCCGCAAGGUUAAAACUCAAAUGAAUUGACGGGGGCCCGCACAAGCGGUGGAGCAUGUGGUUUAAUUCGAUGCAACGCGAAGAACCUUACCUACUCUUGACAUCCACGGAACUUUUCAGAGAUGAAUUGGUGCCUUCGGGAACCGUGAGACAGGUGCUGCAUGGCUGUCGUCAGCUCGUGUUGUGAAAUGUUGGGUUAAGUCCCGCAACGAGCGCAACCCUUAUCCUUUGUUGCCAGCGGUUCGGCCGGGAACUCAAAGGAGACUGCCAGUGAUAAACUGGAGGAAGUGGGGAUGACGUCAAGUCAUCAUGGCCCUUACGAGUAGGGCUACACACGUGCUACAAUGGCGCAUACAAAGNGAAGCGACCUCGCGAGAGCAAGCGGACCUCGUAAAGUGCGUCGUAGUCCGGAUUGGAGU